rnacentral:tRNA from 1 species
UCCGGUAUGGUCUAGUGGUUAGGAUACCUGGCUCUCACCCCGGAGGCCCGGGUUCGAUUCCCGGUGUCGGAA